ACGCCCGAGGAGAUCGAGCGAGCGCCCGAGCGCGCCCGUCCUCGCAGCCUCCUCCCAUGAUUCCCCGCACCCGAGCCCCACGAGAGGAGCUCCUCCCGUGGUUUUACAAGCCGCCGCCGGCGACCACCAGCCACAGCUUGCCGGAGUGCGACGGCGCCGCCUUUGCGAGCACUUUACCCUGUCUCAUGUGGUCGCCCGCAUCACUUCCCCUUGCUAGGGUUUCUGCUCGGGCUCGUGGCCUAGAUGAACGGCCUCGGCAGUUGUGGUGGCGCGUGUGAGAUCCCCCUCCCCGACAAGGCUGCAACUGGAUCCCCUCCUCUCCACCGCUGGAUCCGCUGGAUCCGCUGGAUCCGCUCCUCUCCUACAUGGCCGCCAUCGGAUCCCCUCCUCUCCGACAGCAACGCCUAUGGUUCCAGCGCAAGGUCGACAAGGUCACCCUCUUCGUCAAGGUCGACGAGGCCACUCUCUUCGACCUCAUCCUGGUAGUAUUUGCCAAAGGUUGUUGUUGCCGUGGAGGUCAACGGUCGUCACAAGCCUACAAGAGAAUAUAUUGACAGAGAGUUUAAUGGUGUAAAACCACCCAAUAAUUUCGGCGAAGUUGAUCACUGGACCGCGUGGGCGUACAGACCACGGACCAUCUCGUUGCUUCUGAUGGGAACCUGCUUUUUAAUGGGUGUCUUUGCGAUGAUUGCUAUUUUCUUGGCUUAUUCUUUUCUUCAAGCACCUUCAACGUGAGUUGUAGAAGCUAUGUACCUUAUUUUUUUUAAUUCUUAUUUUGUAUGAACGGGCAUGUAGAUAUGAAUAAGUAUAUUGUGCACUGCCAUUGAGCAGAAGGGGAGUGUAUUUAUGUGUGCUUUAUGUUUGAUCUGAGCUUCUCAAUAUCUUCGAGCUUUUGAAGUAUGAUCUGUAGUACCAACCAUUCAAAAAAAAAUUGUAGUUGCACUAACUAGGACAGCAAAGCCUUACUUCAUUACUGCUCCGUGUAUAAAUAAAAAACAUUUCCUGUUUUGUAGUUGCACUAACCAGGACAGCAGGGCUGGAGAUGCUAUGUUAUAAUUAAUCAUCAGUUACUAAAAUUUAGCUUCUGCUUGCUACUGGUGCAAUCUAUUUCCUAUUUUUGUCUACUAAUCACCAUUUACUAGAAUUUACCUUCUGCCUGAUAUUGCUUGGUUAUUGACGCCACUAGUUUGUACUGAAACGUGGAGACUUUACACUUUGCAAGAUCAUUCGGUGGUGGUGACCCAUAUGAUGGCGAUUUGCUCCGGCCAUUCCAGUUCCGGCGGUGGUGGUGCUGCUGAUCCUACGAUGGUAGACUCGUCUGCCUCCGCUAGCCGCCUCCGUGGUGAUGAAGCUCGGUCUAGGCUACAACCCCUCCGGAGAGCUCCUCACGUCCCCUUCUACCCCUCUUACUUGCUCCUUGGUUCUAUGCUCCGCCUUUGUGACGUGUAAUUGUUCAAUUUUGUUCAUAGUCGAGCAUUGGAUGAUAUUGUAUUUGUCAUGAUGUACAUGGUUCAUGAAACUAUGCCAACCUACAGCUUGUUGUACUAGCUAUGGUAGGAUAAUGCAAGUUUUGACAAUCCAUACAUAAUUCCGCAUGUUCAGUGUCUCUCCGGUUUCUGACCGGUCUUUCUUCUAACCAACAGAAACCAAGAACAGACACUUAUCGAUGCCUGAUUCAACCUGUUCUCUGUUAAAGGGCCUUGUUAUUGUUGUUACUAAACGUUAUGGAUUGCUUAGUGUUUACUGAACUGAGGCAUUGGACAUCAGAAUUUGGGAAUGAUGUAUAGUUUCAGUUCUAGAUGUGUCCAACACAAACAAUAAUGUCAACUAUCAAGUUGAUUCUAAAAUGUCUCAUUAACUCCAUUUCAGAUGGUUAUUUCUGGAUUUGGUAGCAGUUUAUUGUUGGCCUGGCUUGUGCUUCAUACCUUGCUUUGGUUUUUAGUAGCAAGUAGUGCCUUAAUACCUUUUCUAUCAUGUGGUGUCCAUGGAUAGAAAUUUUCGCUGUUAUGUAUUUAUUGUAGUAUCGAAAAUGGCUCAAACCUGUAGUUCUUAGGCUGUACAUAUGGCUAUGCUCCAUUCUUUUGUGCAUUUUAAUUCAGUGUUGGUGCUGAUUUGAUGCCCAUGUUUAGAAACAAAUUAUAGUAAGCUAAAUCGGUAAAUCUUCUUGGUUUGUUCGCGUGCAGAUGAUUGAUCAGCUGAUCUUCUUCCACCAAUGGUAGCGGGAGUGAUGCUGGAGCAGUACAUCAAUGUAGAUCAUCCUACAUUUGGGCAGGGAGAAGCUGGGACAGCCCUAAUGCGAUGACAUCACCAUGUGGCAAAUCUAGUAGAUGGACACAACAUUGGUGCCUGGGUGACGGGACAAAGUACAUGUACCAGUGAUGGUACACGUUAUUCGUGCUUCUCAUUGAUGUUAUGUGUUAUCAGCUAAAAUUUGUGCUUCUCGUCCAAUCUAUGUUGAUGUGCGCUUGUGCACUUGUUGGGCCUUUUUGCUAUGCACUUGCACUUCUAGAACUAUUUGUUGUGCACUUGUUGGUCCUUGAACUUUGUUGUGUAGAGGAGUCGAUUGAUGAUGUAUUUUA